UACGGAGGGUGCAAGCGUUAUCCGGAUUCACUGGGUUUAAAGGGUGCGUAGGUAGGUUGAUAAGUCAGUGGUGAAAUCCCCGAGCUUAACUUGGGAACUGCCAUUGAUACUAUUGAUCUUGAAUACCGUGGAGGUCAGCGGAAUAUGUCAUGUAGCGGUGAAAUGCUUAGAUAUGACAUAGAACACCAAUUGCGAAGGCAGCUGGCUACGCGAAUAUUGACACUGAUGCACGAAAGCGUGGGGAUCAAACAGG
rnacentral:rRNA from 1 species